rnacentral:sRNA from 1 species
UCGCAGCCCCGAUGGUAGUGGAAAGCCUUGUGCCGCAAAAACUGAUUUUUUCUUGGUGAACCAAAGCGACCAACGGAAGCUCUUGGGGCAACUUAGAAAAAACAGUUUUUGCAAACAAGCUUGUAACGGACAGCGGGAAUUGUC